rnacentral:misc_RNA from 1 species
GAAAUGCGAUAAUUAAUGUGAAUUGCAGAAUUCAGUGAAUCAUCGAGUCUUUGAACGCACAUUGCGCCCCCUGGUAUUCCGGGGGGCAUGCCUGUCCGAGCGUCAUUGCUGCCCUCAAGCACGGUUUGUGUGUUGGGCUUCCGUCCCUGGCAACGGGGACGGGCCCAAAAGGCAGUGGCGGCACCAUGUCUGGUCCUCGAGCGUAUGGGGCUUUGUCACCCGCUCCCGUAGGUCCAGCUGGCAGCUAGCCUCGCAACCAAUCUUUUUAACCAGGUUGACCUCGGAUCAGGUAGGGAUACCCGCUGAACUUAAGC